GAUGAAGAACGUAGCGAAAUGCGAUACGUAAUGUGAAUUGCAAAUUCAGUGAAUCAUCGAGUCUUUGAACGCACAUUGCGCCCCCUGGUAUUCCGGGGGGCAUGCCUGUCCGAGCGUCAUUGCUGCCCUCAAGCAGGGCUUGUGUGUUGGGCCCCGUCCUCCGAUUCCGGGGGACGGGCCCGAAAGGCAGCGGCGGCACCGCGUCCGGUCCUCGAGCGUAUGGGGCUUUGUCACCCGCUCUGUAGGCCCGGCCGGCGCUUGCCGAUCAACCCAAAUUUUUAUCCAGGUUGACCUCGGAUCAGGUAGGGAUACCCGCUGAACUUAAGCAUAUCAAUAAGCGGAGGA
rnacentral:misc_RNA from 1 species